rnacentral:rRNA from 1 species
AUUGAACGCUGGCGGCAGGCCUAACACAUGCAAGUCGAGCGGAUGAAGGGAGCUUGCUCCUGGAUUCAGCGGCGGACGGGUGAGUAAUGCCUAGGAAUCUGCCUGGUAGUGGGGGAUAACGUCCGGAAACGGGCGCUAAUACCGCAUACGUCCUGAGGAAGAAAGUGGGGGAUCUUCGGACCUCACGCUAUCAGAUGAGCCUAGGUCGGAUUAGCUAGUUGGUGGGGUAAAGGCCUACCAAGGCGACGAUCCGUAACUGGUCUGAGAGGAUGAUCAGUCACACUGGAACUGAGACACGGUCCAGACUCCUACGGGAGGCAGCAGUGGGGAAUAUUGGACAAUGGGCGAAAGCCUGAUCCAGCCACGCCGCGUGUGUGAAGAAGGUCUUCGGAUUGUAAAGCACUUUAAGUUGGGAGGAAGGGCAGUAAGUUAAUACCUUGCUGUUUUGACGUUACCAACAGAAUAAGCACCGGCUAACUUCGUG